AUUCUUUUGUAGUUCGUAAGCAUGAUGAUUGGGUAUUCAUGCCACUGUGAGACACGUGCCUCUCUCAAACCCUGCUAUAUGACCUCGGCACGUUACCCAUGUGACA
ensembl:snoRNA